rnacentral:rRNA from 1 species
UACGAAGGUGGCAAGCGUUACUCGGAAUUACUAGGCGUAAAGGGCAGGUAGGUGGUUUGGUUAGUCUGUUGUGAAAGCUCCCGGCUUAACUGGGAGAGGUCAACGGAUACUGCCGAACUUGAGUAUAGGAGAGGUUACUGGAAUUCCCGGUGUAGCGGUGAAAUGCGUAGAUAUCAGGAGGAACACCUGUGGUGUAGACAGCUUACUGGACCAUUUCUGACGCUGAGACACGAAAGCGUGGGUAGCAAACAGG